UGCGGGGUAGAGCAGUUGGCAGCUCGUCGGGCUCAUAACCCGGAGGUCGUAGGUUCGAGUCCUACCCCCGCUA
rnacentral:tRNA from 1 species